GCAUAUCAAUAAGCGGAGGAAAAGAAACCAACAGGGAUUGCCCCAGUAACGGCGAGUGAAGCGGCAAUAGCUCAAAUUUGAAAUCUGGCCCUUUUAGGGUCCGAGUUGUAAUUUGCAGAGGGCGCUUUGGAGUUGGCUGCAGCCUAAGUUCCUUGGAACAGGUCAUCAUAGAGGGUGAGAAUCCCGUAUGUGGUUGCAUGCCUUCGCCGUGUAAAGCCCCUUCGAUGAGUCGAGUUGUUUGGGAAUGCAGCUCUAAAUGGGAGGUAAAUUUCUUCUAAAGCUAAAUAUUGGCCAGAGACCGAUAGCGCACAAGUAGAGUGAUCGAAAGAUGAAAAGCACUUUGGAAAGAGAGUCAAAAAGCACGUGAAAUUGUUGAAAGGGAAGCGCUUGCAGCCAGACUUGCCCGCAGUUGCUCAUCCGGGGUUCUCCCCGGUGCACUCUUCUGUGGGCAGGCCAGCAUCAGUUCGGGCGGUUGGAGAAAGACCUGUGUCAUGUAGCUGUUCUCGGGCAGUGUUAUAGGGCAGGUGGAAUGCAACCAGCUCGAACUGAGGUCCGCGCUUCUGCUAGGAUGCUGGCGUAAUGGCUGUAAGCGGCCCGUCUUGAAACACGGACCAAGGAGUCUAACAUCUAUGCGAGUGUUUGGGUGUCAAGCCCGAGCGCGUAAUGAAAGUGAACGGAGGUGGGAACCCCUCGGGGUGCACCAUCGACCGAUCCUGAUGUCUUCGGAUGGAUUUGAGUAAGAGCAUAGCUGUUGGGACCCGAAAGAUGGUGAACUAUGCCUGAAUAGGGUGAAGCCAGAGGAAACUCUGGUGGAGGCUCGCAGCGGUUCUGACGUGCAAAUCGAUCGUCAAAUUUGGGCAUAGGGGCGAAAGACUAAUCGAACUAUCUAGUAGCUGGUUCCUGCC
rnacentral:rRNA from 1 species